UCAGCCAAUCAGCGCCGGGCUGCUCCUGCAAGGCGUCGCGUGCUGCGUGGGCACGUGGCGGCAGCGCUGCUCCCGUUUGCUCCCAUUUACCCCCAUUUGUCCUCAUUUACCGCCUCAGCCCACAGCUCGUGCCCCGUACCCUGCUUCCUUUGGGCCUCCACAGCCCGCAGUGCCAAGCUUUGUGUAGUUAAAGCACUUGAGCCCUGUGGAUUCGUUUGAUAUUGAAGUGUUUUGCUUUCCGUGCUUCCUCAUUUCUGGCUGCUGCAUAUACAUCCUGGGGCAAUGGAGAAAUGACAUAUUCAAUGGACAGGGCACUAUAAUUCAUUGUUCCGGUGACAUCUGUGAUAGACUGUGGAUCAAUGGCCGCGCUGCUGGUGUCAAAAUGAUCAUUGUCUUAAAAAUAGGAAUAGACACAAAAAUUAUCACCACCAUCCAUAAUCGUGUUAUUUGCUUUGAGAAGAGGGAACAAGACCAGCAAGUGAAACCUCCUCUGUUGAUGUGUGCUCUAAGAAAUGGAAGGGUGGGAGAAGAAAGCUGAAGGUGGGACUUUCAGUUGUCUGCUACCUUCAGGAAAACAAUCUGUUCAAUAAAGUAAAGCCAUUGUCAUCCA
rnacentral:lncRNA from 1 species